rnacentral:rRNA from 1 species
UGGGAAUAUUGGGCAAUGGACGCAAGUCUGACCCAGCAACGCCGCGUGAAGGAAGAAGGCUUUCGGGUUGUAAACUUCUUUUUAAGGGGGAAGAGCAGAAGACGGUACCCCUUGAAUAAGCCACGGCUAACUACGUGCC